rnacentral:lncRNA from 1 species
AGAAUCCAUUUGGGGUCCGCCAGAUCCGGAUCUGCGAGAGGUGGACACACAAAACCAAAAGCCAAGUUGGGAUA